rnacentral:lncRNA from 1 species
GGUGGAAGCCUUGGGCUCAUCCGUCUCCGAGCUCAGGGUUCUCUUCCGAGACAGCAUGCCAAACCUGAACGCCAAGCAUUAUCUAAGUGUGAAUGCUUGAAACUUAAAAAAACUAGCUUGAUUCCUAGUGGGGUUUUGCAAGUUGAUUUGCACGAUCACAUCGCCACCCUUUGUUUAGUCACGAGGCAUCAAACGUCAAUGAAAAGCGAGAGCAAAAAGUAUUGUACCCUUGUUUGCACAUGCCUUUACUUUAUAUCAACUUUUACCUCUUUCCACUUACCUGCAGGCUGAAAACCAAACAGACCUGGAGAACUGGGUGACGGCCAUCCACUCAGCCAGCGCGUCACAUUUAGCGAAGCGUCAGGGAAAAGAAGACACUCUGCGCUUGCUGAAGAACCAAAGCCGAUCUCUCCUGCAGAAAAUCGACAUGGACGACAAAAUGAAGAAGAUGGCGGAGCUGCAGCUGUCUGUCAUCAGCGACCAAAAGAACAGGAAGGCUAUUGAGAGCCAGAUCCUGCAGUGGGAACAGAACCUGGAGAAGUUUAACCUAGAGCUCUUCCGCAUGCGCUGUUACCUGGCUAGCCUGCAAGGCACUGAGCUGCCCAAUCCAAAAAGCCUGCUAGCCACUGCUGGACGGCCCUCUAAAAUGGCGCUAGGUCGCCUGGGAAUUUUCUCUGUGUCGUCCUUUCAUGCGCUGGUGAGGAUCAUCACAUGCUUUGAGGCACACAUACAUUAA